GGCAACGGCCAUACCAACGUUGAAAACACCGGUUCUCGUCUGAUCACCGAAGUUAAGCAACGUUGGGUUUGGUUAGUACUUGGAUGGGUGACGCGCCUGGGAAUACCAAAUUGCUGUUGUCU
rnacentral:rRNA from 1 species